UGGGGAAUCUUGCACAAUGGGGGCAACCCUGAUGCAGCGACGCCGCGUGAGUGAUGAAGCCCUUCGGGGUGUAAAGCUCUUUCGGCAGGGACGAUAAUGACGGUACCUGAAGAAGAAGCUGCGGCUAACUACGUGCCAGCAGCCGCGGUAAUACGUAGGCAGCGAGCGUUGUUCGGAGUUACUGGGCGUAAAGAGUGCGUAGGCGGUUUUCUAAGUUUGGUGUGAAAUCUCCCGGCUUAACUGGGAGGGUGCGCCGAAGACUGGAAGGCUUGAGUAUGGGAGAGGUAAGCGGAAUUCCUGGUGUAGCGGUGAAAUGCGUAGAUAUCAGGAGGAACACCUGCGGUGUAGACGGCUUACUGGACCAUCACUGACGCUGAGGCACGAAAGCGUGGGUAGCAAACAGGAUUAGAUACCCUGGUAGUCCACGCCCUAAACGAUGCAUACUUGGUGUGGGUAGUUCAUUCUAUCCGUGCCGGAGCUAACGCGUUAAGUA
rnacentral:rRNA from 1 species